GGUGUCAGGGAGGGUUGGAUCGGCCCUCGCUGGCCGCCAGGUCACCACUAGGGUCCCGCCGACAGUAACUUUCUGGUUGGUGUGCAAGGGCGCUGACUUCCCCAAGGGGCUGAUGCACCUGCCUCUAAGGUUCCAUUCUUCUCCAGGGAUAUCUGGCCUGGAAUAAGCUAAGAAACUGCUUUCAAGAUCGUGUGUUAAGCAACAUGUAUCAGCAGAUGCAGUCUGUCCCACAGGAUUCACAUUACACCUUGGAGAGGAGUCAGCAAACUAACAACCCACCACCUGUUUUAGCCCACAAGCUAAAUAAUUUCUAGUUCACAUCAAAACAUCAAAGGAGAAUGAAAAGACACAAGUCACAAACCAGGAAAAGGUCAUCACUUGGUUCUGAAUGGUCCCUGGAGCUCCAGCCAUCCUAUCUGCAUUUCAAGUAGCAGGAAAGAGAAAGGGAGUAGGAAAAAACCAGUACAUUGGAUACCACUCAGACUUUUUCACUGGAUCCCACAGAGGUUCAAUAACUUGCUAUGACGUCACAACUAGAAAAAUGGUAAAGCCAAGAUUCAAGACCACAUAGUUUAAUUCCAGAGCCUAUACUGGUAAAUGCCACCUAGUAAAUGAUAUAUAUAAA